UACGAAGGGGGCAAGCGUUGUUCGGAAUCACUGGGCGUAAAGCGCUCGUAGGCGGAUCUUUAAGUCAGGGGUGAAAUCCCGAGGCUCAACCUCGGAACUGCCUUUGAUACUGGGGAUCUCGAGUCCGGGAGAGGUGAGUGGAACUGCGAGUGUAGAGGUGAAAUUCGUAGAUAUUGGGAAGAACACCGGUGGCGAAGGCGGCGACCUGGUCCGAUACUGACGCUGAGGCGCGAAAGCGUGGGGAGCAAACAGG
rnacentral:rRNA from 1 species